rnacentral:rRNA from 1 species
UACAGAGACUGCAAGCGUUAUUCGGAUUCACUGGGCGUAAAGGGUGCGCAGGCGGUCGGGUGUGUCAGAUGUGAAAUCCCGAGGCUCAACCUCGGAACUGCGUCUGAAACUACUCGACUAGAGUACUGGAGAGGGUAACGGAAUUCACGGUGUAGCAGUGAAAUGCGUAGAUAUCGUGAGGAACACCAGAGGCGAAGGCUGUUACCUGGACAGUUACUGACGCUCAGGCACGAAAGCAUGGGGAGCAAAAGGG